CACUCUGGUCCCUACUGAUGGUCCUGUUGCUUUGGCGUUUACUUUACAACCCCACCGAUGGAUUUUGGGGGGUGGGGGUUCACUCAGAACCUCACGGACGCCCUUAUUAGGGCAAUGCCCCCCCCCCUCAUCGCCCCCCACCCCAUUACAGGACGGGGGGGCACGCCAGGCCAGCGAGGAAUCCUCCCUCCAAGAGACCCUGACCCGUUUGGAAACCGAAAUCGAGCGGUGCCGCGGGGCGGUGCGGGACACCCAGCUCAACCUCAGCCAAGCGGUGGUGGAAGCCAGCAGCCGGCGCAUCGUCAGCCUGGCGGGGCAGUGGGAGCGGCACCGCGGACCCCUCCUCACCGAGUACCGGCAGCUCCGCGCCCUGCGCGACUCCGCUCAGCUGGAAUCCUCACGGCGGCUGUCGGAGAUCCGCGCCCUCCACGAGCGCAGCCGCUCUGCAGCCGAGGAAGCGCGGCGCAAGGAAGAGCUCUACAAGCAGCUGGUGAAUUUAUGGGGGUGGUCUCG
rnacentral:lncRNA from 1 species